rnacentral:rRNA from 1 species
UACGUAGGGGGCAAGCGUUGUCCGGAAUCAUUGGGCGUAAAGAGCGUGUAGGCGGCUCGGUAAGUCCGCUGUGAAAGUCCAGGGCUCAACCCUGGAAUGCCGGUGGAAACUGUCGAGCUAGAGUCCGGAAGAGGCGAGUGGAAUUCCUGGUGGUAGCGGUGAAAGUGCGCAGAUAUCAGGAGGAACACCGAUGGCGAAGGCAGGUCUCUGGGCCAGCUACUGACGCUGAGAAGCGAAAGCAUGGGGAGCGAACAGG